ACAAAAGGGAAAAAAAGCGCGGGCGGGCGCAAGCCCGUUCGUUGCCGACUCCCGAAAUCCUGUAUUCACCCCAAGUUCCUUUAAAACUUUUUAAAUAAAAAAACUUGCAAAAAAGACCACCAUUGUUCGGUGGCGCUUAAUGCAUACGUGA
rnacentral:misc_RNA from 1 species